GCCGGGAUGGUGGAAUGGGUAGACACACGGGACUUAAAAUCCCGCGGGCCUCGGCCUGUGCCGGUUCAAGUCCGGCUCCCGGCACCA
rnacentral:tRNA from 1 species